GCGAGGGUGACCGGACGUGGAAAGGAAGCGUGAAGCGAAACUGCGAGCCGAUGGACAAGAACCGGAUAUAUCCGCUGCGCGCGCUGGCGCAGGCGGUGCAGCGCUU
rfam:Candidatus Burkholderia pumila strain TZHbot3 BPMIctg186, whole genome shotgun sequence.